rnacentral:lncRNA from 1 species
AUCCUGAAUCUCCCAUUUAAUCCAGUGUCUUGUUUCAUUUGUGGAAGCAGGUUCAAAGGAGCCAUGCUAGGCUAAGAUCCAGUGAGGUAAGUGAGCUCUUUGAGGUCUGAAAAAAAUUUUAAAGUGGUAAGAUUGAAACUACACUUAGGAUAACUUAUUUUCCAGUCUAUAUAGUUAAAAAUAGGUGAUAGAGGUUAAGUUAUUUUUCCACUAUCACCCUGCUCUCUAGAAUUUGCCUUCCAGAACCAUGCUGCUAAACUGUACCUUUCUGCAAUGAUCAGCAGUAUUGACUAGAAAGCCUCUCUCCCACCUCAUACUCUACAAUUGGUCUAUUUGUCCUCGCAGAGGCUGCUGAAGAGUAAGAGGAAGCUGACCUCGGAACUCACCCACUCUCAGGAGGAGCCAAAUAGCAAAUGUGCACAAGUAGACAAGCUGACGUGGCUAAAAGGGCCUUUUUAAGGUCACUGGUUGCUGGUCAAUGCUACCUUUUCAUUCGAUUGCACAAGAGCAGUUUCUGGAGAAGCAGGGAACCUCAGGUAGCCUUUCUACCUGUGAGCAGGCCAGAGGACUUGGCUGCCCUACCGAGGGCACCUCACCUGGGCAGACGCUCCAGUCCACCUGCAGGAAGAGAGUCUGGGGUGCUGUUUCACCAGCCUCCUAGGACUACAGGUGGAAACUUGCAUUGCUGGCACCAAAGUGGUGAUUUGUUCUGGUGAUGGCUUAGCACCCUGUCCACAUGGAGGUUCAACACCAGCUACAGAAUUUGUGGGGCUCAUUGCACAAUGAAAAGGAGGGCCCUUUGAUAAGAAAUUACAAAGGAUUUCAAGACGGUUAUGGCGAGCUUCGAGCCGUGCGUGCGGCCUUGUGAACGCAGGGUCCUGCAGGCCUGCAGAGGCCGCAGGUCCGUGCAGCCGGGCUGUUGGUGUUCCAGGCAGGUGGCUGGCUGCCCCGUGCACAGGCUGUGGGCAGGAGGCCCAGGUGGCCCUGUAGACUCAUCCUCAUCCUUCGGAACUUUGCCCCGGUUUGAGAUUUGCAGCCCUAACUUGAAUGUAGGGUUCCCCCCUUACCCCUCUCCUCUCAGGAGCCCUUAGUAAUCCCCAGAAACAAAGGGCCCGACGGCAGGAGGUGUGUGAGGCAGUGGCAGAGAAGCUCGUCUCUUAAAGCCAGUGUGCUCCAAGCAGCAGAUCCCUGUAGUUUUGUUUUAAGUAGCUUAGAAACAACUCUGGUUGGAGUCUGAGAGUAUUUCCCACAGCUGAGCCCUCUGGCCAAGGCUAAAUCACACAAAGGGCCAAAUGUUCAGCAAAUGCCUGCUAAGAAGGACUUUGGAAUCCAGCUUGAGGAUAACCAUAGAGUUAGAACACCCGUGGAGUCGGGUGAAAGGAAAAUGUCCUGCUGGCUCGUUCCUAGUCACCGCUCCAUCCCCACCACCUCACCGCAGUGGAGUCGCUGGAAAAACAGGUGCAUAAACUAAAAUCAGGCAGUGAGCUGCCAGGCUGACUCCUGCUGCUGCCCAGAAGCUGAGGCAGCACCAGUUAAAGAGCAGAGCCACUACCACUGGCUAAGCGUUCACUUCGGCGUUGUCUUUUCAAGUGCACGUUCAAAUAGAUGAAUGGCAGAAGUGGGCUGGGAGUUUUAAAAUAGAAGUUAUUUCAUAACGAUAAAGACCAAAUUGAGUGGAAAAGGUAUAGUUUGAGAUAAAACAUACAACUAAGAAGGGCCUUACAGUGAAUAUUGCUGAGGUUUUUAGAAGAGUCCACUUACAUUUUAAUGCCCUGGUAAAAUAGUGCAAUUUUUACUUAACCACAGAAAUUACACUGGAUCCAGACGUUUCAAGGCACUUCAAAUAUGCUAAUCUUUCAAGAGGAGUGAGAUUUUUGUCUCUCUUGUUCAUCUUUUCACAAGGUGAGCAAACAGCAUUGGAGGAGCAAUUUCGAUUCACUUUAAUCUUCUUGGAUUCUCCUCAGUUCAUCAUUAGGCUCAUGAAAUGCCUUUGACAUUGUUCAAAAGAGGUUUAUAUUUUAAUAUCUAUUUGUUGGCAAAGUCUAAAGGAAGUAUUUGAUGUGUGGGUUGGGGAAAAGGAGGACAAAAAAAAUCAUCAGUGACGUGAACUAACUAAGAUUGUACAAACUCAGUACCAUUAAAGUAUUGAAAUUCCACUUAAGCAGGUUUAAUUUUUCAUCUAUAACCUCUAUAUAUUGUUUUAUUUUUACACUGGCAUUUGAGAGCUUUUCAGAAGACACAUUGCAUUUCCAGAAAAGGUGAGAUAGGCAAGGAAUCGUGACCUAAAUGCGUAGUCCAAAUAAUCAUGGUUGAAACAUGAAGACAGAGGUUCCACACUUAAUUACGGAAGCACCAAAUGAGAUAAAAAUGAUUACCCUACAUAAUCCUCCAGAUUUGUUGUUGGAAAUUAAUGGCCACCAUGAAAUAAAUGGAGAGGGUAGGCUUUGUUGAGUACAAAGAAGCUCAUCUAAAGUGAGAGAGGUGAAACUGGGGUACUUACCCCAGCUCACUCAAUGUGUAAACAUACAACUGCCACCUGUUUCAGCCUCUGUUUUGUAAUUCCUAAAAUGGAGAUGAAAAUAGAGUUUAUCUUAUGGGCUGUUUUUGAGAGAGUAAAUAGAAUAACGCAAGUACAGUGCAUAGCGCAGUUACUGACACUGUCAUCUUGCCUGUCAUCUGAUGGCUGAUACAAUUUUACCUCCCUUUAUCAGUAGUUCUCCUUGGCUACACAUCACAAUCUCCCGGGGAGCUUUUAAAGUACUGGUUUCUGGGUUCCACACUCAGACAUUCUGAUUUAAUUAGUCUUGGGUGUGGUUUCAGCAUUAGGGUUGUUUGUUUGCUUUUUUAUUAGAUAUAUUUUUUGUCUUUUUUUAAAAGAUACAUAGAUUACACAAAAUGUUACAUUAAAAAAUAUAAGAGGUUCCUAUAUACCCCCCUCCCCACCCCCCCACUCCUCCCACAUCAACAACCACUUUUAUCAGUGUGGCACAUUCACUGCAUUUGAUGAACACAUCUUGGAGAGCAUCAGGGUUUUUAAAAGCACCCCAGGUGACUCUACUCCUAAACCCAAGUUGAGGACUACUACUUUAGACAGUAAAUCUUUCAGGAAAAACUGCCUUUAUCUGAAUUAUGCCCUUUGAGCUCCCUGACAUAGUCUAACCGUGGCGACGUGAUCAUUGUGGCUAGUGCUCCUUUUUCUCUUGCCUUUUUGGAGUUACAAGGAUAAAUAAAAAGUAAUGAGACCUGAUGAUUCCACUUAGUGUC